UACGGUCACGUCACGUUUAAAUAACGGUUCCUGUACGAUCGCCGAAGUUAAGCAACACCGAGCAUGGUCAAUACUUAGAAGGGUGACCGUUUAGGAACACCAGGUGCUGAAA